UACAGAGGUCCCAAGCGUUGUUCGGAUUCACUGGGCGUAAAGGGUGCGUAGGUGGCCGGUUAAGUCUGACGUGAAAUCUCCGAGCCUAACUCGGAAACUGCGUCGGAAACUAUCCGGCUCGAGGGUUAGAGGGGGGACUGGAAUACUUGGUGUAGCAGUGAAAUGCGUAGAUAUCAAGUGGAACACCAGUGGCGAAGGCGAGUCCCUGGACAACUCCUGACACUGAGGCACGAAAGCUAGGGGAGCAAACAGG
rnacentral:rRNA from 1 species